rnacentral:lncRNA from 1 species
GAGUACAUUCAAUAAAUUUGGAGCUAUUGCACCAAAGACUGGGACACGUAUCUGGUAUAGUAAUGAAUAAGAUGCAACCUAUCAGUAUAUAGAAUAUUAGAGAAAAAAUAGAUAGUUGCACAAUCUGUCCUUGUGCCAAACAAACUAGAUUACAAUUUCCUUUUAGUGAUAUCAUAAGCAUGUAUUAUUUUGAUUUGAUUCAUGUAGACCUAUGGGGUCUUUA